GACGAACGCUGGCGGCGUGCUUAACACAUGCAAGUCGAACGGAAAGGCCCUGCUUUUGUGGGGUGCCCGAGUGGCGAACGGGUGAGUAACACGUGAGUAACCUGCCCUUGACUUUGGGAUAAGUUAAGGAAACUGGGGCUAAUACCGGAUAGGAGCUCAUGCUGCAUGGUGGGGGUUGGAAAGUUUCGGCGGUUGGGGAUGGACUCGCGGCUUAUCAGCUUGUUGGUGGGGUAGUGGCUUACCAAGGCUUUGACGGGUAGCCGGCCUGAGAGGGUGACCGGCCACAUUAGGACUGAGAUACGGCCCAGUCUCCUACGGGAGGCAGCAGUGGGGAAUAUUGUACAAUGGGCGGAAGCCUGAUGCGGCGACGCCGCGUGCGUGAUGACGGCCUUCGGGUUGUAAACCGCUUUCGCCUGUGACGAAGCGUGAGUGACGGUAAUGGGUAAAGAAGCACCGGCUAACUACGUG
rnacentral:rRNA from 1 species